AUUGAACGCUGGCGGCAGGCCUAACACAUGCAAGUCGAGCGAGCGGCGGACGGGUGAGUAAUGUCUGGGAAACUGCCUGAUGGAGGGGGAUAACUACUGGAACCGGUAGCUACUACCGCAUACAAUCAGAUGUGCCCAUAGGGGAUUAGCUAGUAGGUGGGGUAACGGCUCACCUAGGAGACGAUCCCUAGCUGGUCUGAGAGGAUGAACAGCCACACGGGGACGGCGACACGGUCCAGACGCCUACGGGAGGCAGCAGUGGGGAAUAGUGCACAAGGGGCGCAAGCCUGAUGCAGCCAUGCCGCGUGUAUGAAGAAGGCCUUAGGGUUGUAAAGCACUUUCAGCGGGGAGGCGUUACCGGCAGAAGAAGCACCGGCUAACUCCGUGCCAGCAGCCGCGGUAAUAC
rnacentral:rRNA from 1 species